GAUGAACGCUGGCGGCGUGCCUAAUACAUGCAAGUAGAACGCUGAAGCUUGGUGCUUGCACCGAGCGGAUGAGUUGCGAACGGGUGAGUAACGCGUAGGUAACCUGCCUCUUAGCGGGGGAUAACUAUUGGAAACGAUAGCUAAUACCGCAUAAAAGUCGAUAUCGCAUGAUAUUGAUUUGAAAGGUGCAAAUGCAUCACUAAGAGAUGGACCUGCGUUGUAUUAGCUAGUUGGUGAGGUAACGGCUCACCAAGGCGACGAUACAUAGCCGACCUGAGAGGGUGAUCGGCCACACUGGGAAUGAGACACGGCCCAGAAUCCUACGGGAGGCAGCAGUAGGGAAUCUUCGGCAAUGGGGGCAACCCUGACCGAGCAACGCCGCGUGAGUGAAGAAGGGUUUCGGAUCGUAAAGCUCUGUUGUAAGAGAAGAACGAGUGUGAGAGUGGAAAGUUCACACUGUGACGGUAACUUACCAGAAAGGGACGGCUAACUACGUG
rnacentral:rRNA from 1 species